GCAGGGCCGUCAUUUCGGCGCGGGAAAAUGGAAAAAGAAAAAGGAAAGAUGGUUUUUUCCGACGUAGGCUUGCUUUCGGUUUGGUUUUUCGGAAUUUUUUCUUUUUUUGACGGUCGUGUUUUUAGUUCUUCUUUUUUUUUUUCUUUUUGGUCGUAGCCGUGUUUUCAGUUGGUGAAGCGGAUUUAAUAAGGUUUUGGAGUCCAUUCCUCCACACACGGAGAGAGAGAGAGAGAGAAGAGAGAGAGAGAAAGAGAGAGACUUUUCAGAUAGAGAGGAGACUUUUUGGAGAGAGAGAGAGAGGAGCUGUGCAGCAUUGAAGUGAUCUGAAGAGGGGGGGGAGAGAUCUGGAGAAGAAGGUGAGCUGCUACUGCUCCCGAUCGCGUUCUGAUCGAUCGUCUUUGUUCGUGGGAGGAAAUACUUUGUAGCUUUCGGUGUGUUCUCGCCGAAGCCUUGACCUUUGCGGUUCAUUUGUAUCCGAAGGCUUAUAGGUGAACCGACGGACCGCCUACAUAGAUAUUUCCAGUAUCGUAUGAUUUGCGGCUCAGUUUCCUUUAUCCGUAACGUUUACCUAGAAAUCGGGGAAAUUACCAUUUUGAGCCUUCCGGUUGCGCGAAAAAGGACCAAUUUUUGUGUAUUUAUGGCUUAUGCCGGUAGCGUUACAUCGCAAGGGUUUUUCUGUGUUAGAUCAGAUACGAGAGUGGAAGAAGCGUAGCUCUCUUGAAGUUUCUAUAAUAGCCUUUAAAGCCCAUUUGCUGCUCUAUUUUGUUA